rnacentral:rRNA from 1 species
UACGUAGGGACCAAGCGUUGUCCGGAAUCAUUGGGCGUAAAGAGCGUGUAGGCGGCUUGUUAAGUCAGGGGUGAAAUCCUGGAGCUCAACUCCAGAACUGCCUUUGAUACUGAGGAUCUUGAGUUCGGGAGAGGUGAGUGGAACUGCGAGUGUAGAGGUGAAAUUCGUAGAUAUUCGCAAGAACACCAGUGGCGAAGGCGGCUCACUGGCCCGAUACUGACGCUGAGGCACGAAAGCGUGGGGAGCAAACAGG